GCUUUGAGCUUUGGUUUUGCAGCCUCGACAGCAGCACAUCAGGCCCCCUUUCCCCAGCAAUGCCCAAGCUGAUCACUUAUUCUCAUCCACAGACACUCCUUCUGGUCUCGAAGAAGCUGAGAAAAAUGAGGUGGAGAAUACAAUCACCUAUUCACUUCUCAAGCAUCCUGAAGCUCCGGAUGAAGAAUCAGAUCACGACUACCAGAACCACAUUUAGUCUCUCUUGAGAUUGGGAAAAGCAAACCAGUAAGGCCAGGACCUAGCGUCUCCUGGUCCAAGGAAUGCUGUAGAUAUGAAAGAAAACAUCUAGAGUCCCUUCUGUGAGUCCUGAAACCAACAGACACUACGAUAUUGGUUCCCAAUGGUUGACUGUACUAAUGACUUCCAUAACUUACAGCUUCCCAACUAAAGACUCUUUUGCUAUAGAUCCACACAGCCAAUAAAAUUAAUCAACUUACUGUUGUUAAGAGACUACAGCAACGUGGGAACUGCUUAUAUUACAUGCUAAGGAGAACAAGUAACAUUAGGAUGCAUAAUCUCAGCGAGGAUCAACUAGACGUGUACCAACCUGUCAAAAGUGAUGCUUCUUUAUAAGAAACUUUAUUUCCUUAUUUUUCUAUAAAGGUCACAUAUUACUUUUA
rnacentral:lncRNA from 1 species